rnacentral:rRNA from 1 species
UAAACUAGGAUUAGAUACCCUAGUAUAUUAAAACCAUAUAAGGUAGUAAAAAUUUCUUUAAACCUAUUUAUUCUGGCGGCAUUUCAUCUUAUUAAAGGAACCUGUUUUCUAAUCGAUAAUCCACGAUAAGUUUUACUUAAAUUAAAAAUUUAUAUACCGCCAUCUAAAAAACUAAUUUAAUAAUAAUAUUUUCAAUAAAUAAUUAAAAAGUUAGGUCAAGGUGUAAUCUAUAUUUAAGUAAAUAAUGGGUUACAUUAAAAAAUAUUUAAGGAUAUUUUUAUAAAAGUAAAUUUUGAAAAGGGAUUUAGAAGUAAUAAUAAAAUAAUAUUUUAUUAUGAUUAAGAUAAUAAAUGGGCACAUAUCGCCCGUCACCCUUAUCAAAAGGUAAGAUAAGUCGUAACAUAGUA